GAAUGUAUGAGAAUACUACUUGGAUAACCGUAGUAAUUCUAGAGCUAACACAUGCAACGACGCCCGACCGUUUCACUACGGAAGGGCUGUAUUUAUUGGAUACCAAAACCAUCCUUCCCUCGGGAAGUUUUGUUUGAUGAUUCACAAUAACUGAUCGGAUCGCCACUGUGGUGGCGACAGGUCAUUCAACAUUCUGCCCUAUCAGCUUUCGAUGGCUGUGUAGUGGACAACCAUGGCCAUAACGGGUAACGGAGAAUCAGGGUUCGAUUCCGGAGAAGGAGCUUGAGAAUUGGCUACUACAUCUAAGGAAGGCAGCAGGCGCGCAAAUUACCCAAUCCCGAUUCGGGGAGGUAGUGACAAAAAAUAACAAUACCGGGCCUUUUUGGGCUUGGUAAUUGGAAUGAGGGAGAGUUAAACGGACCAUCGAGUAUCCAUUGGAGGGCAAGUCUGGUGCCAGCAGCUGCGGUAAUACCAGCUCCAAUAGCGUAUAUUAAAGUUGUUGCAGUUAAAAAGCUCGUAGUUGGACUUGUGUGCGCUGUCCGCGGGUGGCCUGCGCCCAAAAGGGCGUUUCGGUUCGGCCCCGGUGGCGCCUUGAAAUCUGCAGCUGGGGGGACGUUGGCCUUAACUGGUCGGCGACCGCACGCCGGCUGCUCGGUUACUGUGAGAAAAUUAGAGUGUUCAAGGCAGGCAUUGGGUGCAAUUGAAUACAUUAGCAUGGAAUAAUAAAAUAUGGCUCCUGCCGUAUUUUGUUGGUUUUGACUGGUGGGAGUAAUGAUUGAUAGGGACGGUUGGGGGUGCUAGUAUUGAGCGGCCAGAGGUGAAAUUCAUGGAUUCGCUCAAGACUAACUUAUGCGAAAGCAUUCACCAAGGACGUCCUCUUUAAUCAAGAACGAAAGUUGGGGGAUCGAAGACGAUCAGAUACCGUCGUAGUCUCAACCAUAAACUAUGUCGACUUGGGAUCGGCGGUAGUUUUUUCAUUAAGACACUGUCGGGACCACGGGAGAAAUCAAAGUGUCUGGACUCUGGGGGAAGUAUGGUCGCAAGGCUGAGACUUGAAGGAAUUGACGGAAGGGCACCACCAGGAGUGGAGCCUGCGGCUUAAUUUGACCCAACACGGGGAAACUUACCAGGUCCAGAGAUGUAGAGGAUUGACAGAUUGAAGCUCUUUCUUGAUCACUUCGGUGGUGGUGCAUGGCCGUUCUUAGUUGGUGGAGUGAUUUGUCUGGUUA
rnacentral:rRNA from 1 species